GGGCGGAUGGCGAAAUUGGCAGACGCGCUACGUUCAGAGCGUAGUGGGCUUACGCUCAUGAGGGUUCAAGUCCCUCUCCGCCCACCA
rnacentral:tRNA from 1 species